rnacentral:rRNA from 1 species
CAGUAACGGCGAGUGAAGCGGCMACAGCUCAAAUUUGAAAUCUGGCUCUCGGGCCCGAGUUGUAAUUUGUAGAGGAUGCUUUUGGUGAGGUGCCUUCCGAGUUCCCUGGAACGGGACGCCAUAGAGGGUGAGAGCCCCGUCUGGUUGGACACCGAUCCUCUGUAAAGCUCCUUCGACGAGUCGAGUAGUUUGGGAAUGCUGCUCUAAAUGGGAGGUAUAUGUCUUCUAAAGCUAAAUACCGGCCAGAGACCGAUAGCGCACAAGUAGAGUGAUCGAAAGAUGAAAAGAACUUUGAAAAGAGAGUUAAACAGUACGUGAAAUUGUUGAAAGGGAAGCGCUUGUGACCAGACUUGGGCUUGGUUGAUCAUCCGGGGUUCUCCCCGGUGCACUCUUCCGGCUCAGGCCAGCAUCAGUUCGCCCUGGGGGACAAAGGCUUCGGGAAUGUGGCUCUCUCCGGGGAGUGUUAUAGCCCGUUGCGUAAUACCCUGUGGCGGACUGAGGUUCGCGCAUUCGCAAGGAU